rnacentral:rRNA from 1 species
AGCGAACGCUGGCGGCAGGCCUAACACAUGCAAGUCGAACGAACCCUUCGGGGUUAGUGGCGGACGGGUGAGUAACACGUGGGAACGUGCCUUUAGGUUCGGAAUAACUCAGGGAAACUUGUGCUAAUACCGAAUGUGCCCUUCGGGGGAAAGAUUUCUCGCCUUUAGAGCGGCCCGCGUCUGAUUAGCCAGUUGGUGAGGUAAUGGCGCACCAAGGCUACGAUCAGUAGCUGGUCUGAGAGGAUGACCAGCCACAUUGGGACUGAGACACGGACCAAACUCCUACGGGAGGCAGCAGUGGGGAAUCUUGCGCAAUGGGCGAAAGCCUGACGCAGCCAUGCCGCGUGGAUGAUGAAGGUCUUAGGAUUGUAAAAUCCUUUCACCGGUGAAGAUAAUGACUGUAGCCGGAGAAGAAGCCCCGGCUAACUUCGUGCCAGCCGCCGCCGUAAUAC